rnacentral:rRNA from 1 species
UCCAGACUCCUACGGGAGGCAGCAGUGGGGAAUAUUGCACAAUGGGGGAAACCCUGAUGCAGCAACGCCGCGUGAGUGAAGAAGUAUUUCGGUAUGUAAAGCUCUCUCAGCAGGGAAGAAGAUGACAGUACCUGAUUAAGAAGCCCCGGCUAACUACGUGCCAGCAGCCGCGGUAAUACGUAGGGGGCAAGCGUUAUCCGGAUUUACUGGGUGUAAAGGGAGCGCAGACGGCAGUGCAAGUCUGGAGUGAAAGCCCAGGGCCCAACCCCGGAACUGCUCUGGAAACUGUGCGGCUAGAGUACUGGAGGGGCAGGCGGAAUUCCUAGUGUAGCGGUGAAAUGCGUAGAUAUUAGGAGGAACACCAGUGGCGAAGGCGGCCUGCUGGACAGUAACUGACGUUGAGGCUCGAAAGCGUGGGGAGCAAACAGGAUUAGAUACCCCUGUACA